GCUACCAUUAUUCUCUGGAGUAGUGGAGCGAAUUAGACGGACCGCCACAGUUAAUGUGGAGGAAGGAAGGGGCCACGGCAGGUCAGUAUGCCCCGAAACCCUAGGGCUACACGCGGGCUGCAAUGGUAUUGACAAUGUGUUCCGAAUCCGAAAGGAGGAGGCAAUCAUUAAACAAUAUCUCAGUUAUGACUGAGGGCUGUAACUCGCCCUCACGAAUAUGGAAUCCCUAGUAACCGCGCGUCACUACCGCGCGGUGAAUACGUCCCUGCUCCUUGCACGAAUUCGCCG
rnacentral:rRNA from 1 species